AUUUGUUCUUUAAAUGGGGACUUGUAUCAACGGCACCACGAGGGCCAUACUGUCUCCUUUCUCUAGUCAGUGAAACUGAUCUCCCCGUGAAGAAGCGGGGAUUUAACUAUUAGACGAGAAGACCCCAUGGAGCUUAAAACUCACCAUAUAAUUCUGUACCUCAUACCACCUUAAUUCAGAAUCCUAUAUGCUAGUUUUAGGUUGGGGGGACCUCGGAGUAUAAUUUAACCUCCAUAACAAAUGGGCUAAUACCCUUAUCCAAGAUAAACACCUCUAAGAAUUAUUAAAUUAAUGUUUAAUGACCCGAUAUAUUCGAUCAAUGAACCAAGUUACCCUGGGGAUAACAGCGCAAUCUACUUCAAGAGUCCAUAUCGACAAGUAG
rnacentral:rRNA from 1 species